GUGGUCAAGUUACUAAGGGCUCAUGGAGGAUGUCUUGGCGUCAAGAGGCGAUGAAGGGCGUUGUAGGCUGCGAUAAGCCCGGAGUAGGUGUCAAACAACCGUUUAUUCCGGGAUUCCCGAAUUAUUUAUAACUGAAUUCAUAGGUUAUAAAGGCCCACGCAGGGAACUGAAACAUCUCAGUACCUGUAGGAAAGGAAAUCAAUUGAGACUCCGUUAGUAGCGGCGAGCGAAAGCGGAUCUAGCCCAAACCGGGACUUGUCCCGGGGUUGUGGACCAUUGAGGAGUUACAAAGGUGAGGUUAGUCGAAGCACUUGGGAAGGUGCACCACAGAAGGUGAAAGUCCUGUAGAUAAAAACCUGCACUCUCCGUUGAGAUGGUAUCCAGAGUAGCAUGGAGCUCGUGGAACUCUGUGUGAAGCUGGGGGGCCCACCCUCCAAGGCUAAGUACUCCUUGACGACCGAUAGCAAACCAGUAGGGCGAUUGAAAGAUGAAAAGCACCCCUUCAAGGGGAGUUAACGAACCUGAAACCAUGAGCUUACAAGCUGUAGGAGUCCUAUGUCCCUUCGGGGAAACGGAUGACUGCGUGCCUUUUGCAUAAUGAACCGGCGAGUUACUGUCUGUGGCAAGGUUAAUCUGUUAAGCAGAGCAGCCGAAGCGAAAGCGAGUUCUAACCAGCGUAGAGUCGCAGGCAGUAGACGCGAAACCAAGUGAUCUACCCAUGGCCAGGUUGAAGGAGAAGUAAAAUUCUCUGGAGGACCGAACUCACUAACGUUGAAAAGUUAGGGGAUGAGCUGUGGGGAGGAGUGAAAGUCUAA
rnacentral:rRNA from 1 species